rnacentral:rRNA from 1 species
GAUGAACGCUGGCGGCGUGCCUAAUACAUGCAAGUCGAGCGAACAGACGAGGAGCUUGCUCCUCUGACGUUAGCGGCGGACGGGUGAGUAACACGUGGAUAACCUACCUAUAAGACUGGGAUAACUUCGGGAAACCGGAGCUAAUACCGGAUAAUAUAUUGAACCGCAUGGUUCAAUAGUGAAAGACGGUUUUGCUGUCACUUAUAGAUGGAUCCGCGCCGCAUUAGCUAGUUGGUAAGGUAACGGCUUACCAAGGCAACGAUGCGUAGCCGACCUGAGAGGGUGAUCGGCCACACUGGAACUGAGACACGGUCCAGACUCCUACGGGAGGCAGCAGUAGGGAAUCUUCCGCAAUGGGCGAAAGCCUGACGGAGCAACGCCGCGUGAGUGAUGAAGGUCUUCGGAUCGUAAAACUCUGUUAUUAGGGAAGAACAAAUGUGUAAGUAACUAUGCACGUCUUGACGGUACCUAAUCAGAAAGCCACGGCUAACUACGUGCCAGCAGCCG